UACGUAGGGGGCAAGCGUUGUCCGGAGUUACUGGGCGUAAAGCGCACGCAGGCGGUCUCUUAAGUUUGGAGUGACAGUUGGUGGCUUAACUGCCAAAGUGCUUCGAAAACUGAGAGACUUGAGGGCUUCAGAGGGACACGGAAUUCCGGGUGGAGUGGUGAAAUGCGUAGAGAUCCGGAGGAACACCAAAGGCGAAGGCAGUGUCCUGGGGAGUACCUGACGCUCAGGUGCGAAAGCCAGGGGAGCGAACGGGAUU
rnacentral:rRNA from 1 species